UGGUAAAACCCCAUCUCUACUAAAAAUACAAAAAUCAGUGAGCAUGGUGGUGGAUGCCUGUAGUCCCAGCUACUCAGAAGGCUGAGGCAGGAGAAUCACUUGAACCCGGGAGGCAGAGAUUGCAGUGAGCAGAGAUCGCACCACUGCACUCCAGCCUAGGUGACAGAGCAAGACUCCAUCUCAAAAGAAAAAAAAAAGUGCUCUCACAUCUACUCUGUUCAUAGGAUUCUUCCAUAAUAUGAAUUCUCUGAUUAGAGUAUAGCGUUAUGGACUGAAUAUAUGUGUUCCCAAAAAAUUCAUACGUUAAAGACCCAACUCAUGGCAUGGCUAUAUUUGGAAUAAUUAAUUGGAAGUAAUUAAGGUUCAAUGAAGUCAUAAAUUUGAGGCCCUGGCCAGAAGCAGUGGCUCAGACCUGUAAUCCCAACACUUUGAGAGGUCAAGACAGGAGGAUGGCUUGAACCAUGGAGUUUCAGACCAGCCUGGGCAACAUAGUGAGAUGCCAUCUCUACAAAAAAUUUAAAAAUUAGCUGGGCAUGGUGGUGCAUGAUUGUGGUCCCAGCUACUCAGAAGGCUGAGGUGGGAGGAUCCCUUGAGCCAAGGAGACCGAGGCUACAGUGAACCAUGAUCACUGGAGCCAAGGAGACUGAGGCUACAGUGAACCAUGAUCGCUGGGCUACUGCACUGCAGCGUGGGCGACAGGGUGAGACCCUGUCUCAAAAAAAGAGAUGAAGAAGAAGGAGAAGGAGAAGAAGAAAGAAGAAAGAAGGAGAAGGAGAUGGAGAUGGAGAAGUAGAGGAAGGAGGAGAAGGAGGAGGAGGAGGAGGGGGGAGGAGGGAGGAGGGAGAAAGGAAGAAGGAGAAAGAAGAGACACCAGAGAGCUCUCUCAUCCUCUCCCUUUCUCCCUCCCUCUCCCCAGCACUCCCCUAACUGCCCCACCACCACCUCCCCAUAACCUGCACACUUGCACAGAGGAAAGGCCACGUGAGGACAUAGCGAGAAGACAGCCAUCUGCAAGCCAAGCAGAGAGCCUUCCCCAGAAACCAAAUUGGGUGGAACCUUGAUACUGGACGUCUACCCUCCACAGCUGUGAGAAAAUAAAUGUCUGGUUUAAGCCACCCAGACAUGGGUGCCUGUGUCCUUGAGACAGAGGAAAAAUGAUGACAUGGUAUUUCAUCAUGGCAGCCUGAGCAAACUAAUACAUAUGGUGUUAAUUUUCUUUGCCACGUAUGUCACGUUUUCACCUAGCUCACUGGUAAAGAUUUUUUUUUUUUU
rnacentral:lncRNA from 10 species